ACUCCUGCGGGAGGCAGCAGUGGGGAAUUUUGGACAAUGGGCGAAAGCCUGAUCCAGCAAUGCCGCGUGUGUGAAGAAGGCCUUCGGGUUGUAAAGCACUUUUGUCCGGAAAGAAAUCCUUGGCUCUAAUACAGUCGGGGGAUGACGGUACCGGAAGAAUAAGCACCGGCUAACUACGUGCCAGCAGCCGCGGUAAUACGUAGGGUGCGAGCGUUAAUCGGAAUUACUGGGCGUAAAGCGUGCGCAGGCGGUUUGCUAAGACCGAUGUGAAAUCCCCGGGCUCAACCUGGGAACUGCAUUGGUGACUGGCAGGCUAGAGUAUGGCAGAGGGGGGUAGAAUUCCACGUGUAGCAGUGAAAUGCGUAGAGAUGUGGAGGAAUACCGAUGGCGAAGGCAGCCCCCUGGGCUAAUACUGACGCUCAUGCACGAAAGCGUGGGGAGCAAACAGGAUUAGAUACCCGGGUAGUCCC
rnacentral:rRNA from 1 species